UCGGCUUGGCAUCUCCAGGGUCCUCGUCUCUCCUGGUCCUCUCGCUGCCCCCUGCCUGAGCACGUCUGCUGGCGGGGCAGAGAUGACCAGGGGAGGUGCUGGCCCGAGCUCUGCUCCUGGGCCA
rnacentral:precursor_RNA from 15 species